rnacentral:tRNA from 1 species
GGGCGGUUAGCUCAGCGGUAGAGCAUCAGUCUUACAAACUGGGGGUCGUAGGUUCGAUCCCUACACCGCCCACCA